GAUGAACGCUGGCGGCGUGCUUAACACAUGCAAGUCGAGCGAGUGAGUUCUUCGGAACGAUCUAGCGGCGGACGGGUGAGUAACACGUGGGCAACCUGCCUCAUAGAGGGGAAUAGCCUCCCGAAAGGGAGAUUAAUACCGCAUAAAAUUAUCGAGUGGCAUCACAUGAUAAUCAAAGGAGUAAUCCGCUAUGAGAUGGGCCCGCGGCGCAUUAGCUAGUUGGUGAGGUAACGGCUCACCAAGGCGACGAUGCGUAGCCGACCUGAGAGUGAUCGGCCACAUUGGGACUGAGACACGGCCCAGACUCCUACGGGAGGCAGCAGUGGGGAAUAUUGCACAAUGGGGGGAAACCCUGACGCAGCAACGCCGCGUGAGUGAUGAAGGUCUUCGGAUUGUAAAAUUCUUUCACCGGGGACGACAAUGACGGUACCCGGAGAAUAAGCACCGGCUAACUACGUGCCAGCCGCCGCGGUAA
rnacentral:rRNA from 1 species